CCUACGGGGGGCUGCAGUGGGGAAUAUUGGACAAUGGGGGCAACCCUGAUCCAGCCAUGCCGCGUGUGUGAAGAAGGCCCUCGGGUUGUAAAGCACUUUCAGUGAGGAAGAACGCCUGGUGGUUAAUACCCAUCAGGAAAGACAUCACUCACAGAAGAAGCACCGGCUAACUCCGUGCCAGCAGCCGCGGUAAUACGGAGGGUGCGAGCGUUAAUCGGAAUUACUGGGCGUAAAGCGCGCGUAGGUGGCUUGAUAGGCCGGUUGUGAAAGCCCCGGGCUCAACCUGGGAACGGCAUCCGGAACUGUCAAGCUAGAGUGCAGGAGAGGAAGGUAGAAUUCCCGGUGUAGCGGUGAAAUGCGUAGAGAUCGGGAGGAAUACCAGUGGCGAAGGCGGCCUUCUGGACUGACACUGACACUGAGGUGCGAAAGCGUGGGUAGCAAACAGGAUUAGAUACCCUGGUAGUC
rnacentral:rRNA from 1 species